rnacentral:rRNA from 1 species
AUACGGAGGGUGCAAGCGUUAAGCGGAAUUACUGGGCGUAAAGCGUACGUAGGCGGUCCGUUAAGUUAGAUGUGAAAGCCCCGGGCUUAACCUGGGAACUGCAUUUAAAACUGGCGAACUAGAGUUGAGUAGAGGGGAGUGGAAUUUCAGGUGUAGCGGUGAAAUGCGUAGAGAUCUGAAGGAACACCAGUGGCGAAGGCGACUCCCUGGACUCGAACUGACGCUGAGGUACGAAAGCGUGGGUAGCAAACGGGAUUAGAAACCCCAGUAGUCC